GACGAACGCUGGCGGCGUGCCUAAUACAUGCAAGUCGAGCGGACCUUUCGGGGUCAGCGGCGGACGGGUGAGUAACACGUGGGCAAUCUGCCCGAUACUCUGGGAUAACGCUUGGAAACGAGUGCUAAUACCGGAUGGUCUUCUUGGCCGCAUGGCCGAGAAGGAAAAGACGCGUUCGCGUCGGUGUCGGAUGAGCCCGCGGCGCAUUAGCUAGUUGGUGAGGUAACGGCCCACCAAGGCGACGAUGCGUAGCCGACCUGAGAGGGUGACCGGCCACACUGGGACUGAGACACGGCCCAGACUCCUACGGGAGGCAGCAGUAGGGAAUCUUCCACAAUGGGCGAAAGCCUGAUGGAGCAACGCCGCGUGAGUGAUGAAGGCCUUCGGGUUGUAAAACUCUGUCAUUCGGGACGAACCGGAGUCUGAGGAAAUGCAGACUCUCUGACGGUACCGGAGGAGGAAGCCCGG
rnacentral:rRNA from 1 species